rnacentral:miRNA from 1 species
UUCUGACCAAAUUGAAGGAGG